UACGUAGGGCGCGAGCGUUGUCCGGAAUCAUUGGGCGUAAAGCGCGUGUAGGCGGCUUGGUAAGUCUGCUCUGAAAGCCCGGGGCUCAACCCCGGGAGGCGGGUGGAUACUGUCAAGCUCGAGUCCGGAAGAGGAGUGUGGAAUUCCUGGUGUAGCGGUGAAAUGCGCAGAUAUCAGGAGGAACACCUGUGGCGAAAGCGGCUCACUGGACCACAACUGACGCUGAUGCACGAAAGCUAGGGGAGCAAACAGG
rnacentral:rRNA from 1 species